AGAUUGAUACUAAGCCAUGUUAGUUAUUGUAGUAAUACAAGGCAGACGGCUCAGUAACACGUAGUCAACCUAACUUAUGGACGGGGAUAACCUCGGGAAACUGAGAAUAAUACCCGAUAGGUCAUGAUGCCUGGAAUGGUUUAUGACUCAAAUAAUUUAUUGCCGUAGGAUGGGACUGCGAGCUAUCAGCUUGUUGGUGAGGUAAUGGCCCACCAAGGCUAUUACAGCUACGGGCUCUGAGAGGAGUAGCCCGGAGAUGGGUACUGAGACAAGGACCCAGGCCCUAUGGGGCGCAGCAGGCGAGAAAACUUUGCAAUGCGCGAAAGCUCGACAAGGUUAAUCUGAGUGGUUCCUGCUAAAGGAACCUUUUGUUAGUCGUAGAACCACUGAUGAAUAAGGGGUGGGCAAGUUCUGGUGUCAGCCGCCGCGGUAAAACCAGCACCUCAAGUGGUCAGGAUGAUUAUUGGGCCUAAAGCAUCCGUAGCCUGUUCUGUAAGUUUUCGGUUAAAUCCAUAAGCUCAACUUAUGGGCUGCCGAAAAUACUGCAGAACUAGGGAGUGGGAGAGGUAGACGGUACUCGGUAGGAAGGGGUAAAAUCCUUUGAUCUAUUGAUGACCACCUGUGGCGAAGGCGGUCUACCAGAACACGUUCGACGGUGAGGGAUGAAAGCUGGGGGAGCAAACCGGAUUAGAUACCCGGGUAGUCCCAGCUGUAAACGAUGCAAACUCGAUGAUGCGUUGGCUUGUUGCUAGCGCAGUGUCGCAGGGAAGCCGUUAAGUUUGCCGCCUGGGAAGUACGUACGCAAGUAUGAAACUUAAAGGAAUUGGCGGGGGAGCACCACAAGGGGUGAAGCCUGCGGUUCAAUUGGAGUCAACGCCUGAAACCUUACCCGGAGAGACAGCAGAAUGAAGGUCAAGCUGAAGACUUUACCAGACAAGCUGAGAGGUGGUGCAUGGCCGUCGCCAGCUCGUGCCGUGAGAUGUCCUGUUAAGUCAGGUAACGAGCGAGAUCCCUGCCUCUAGUUGCCACUAUUACACCCUGGUGUAGUAGGGCGAAUUAGGGGGACCGCCGCAGUUAAUGCGGAGGAAGGAAGGGGCCACGGCAGGUCAGUAUGCCCCGAAACUCUGGGGCCACACGCGGGCUGCAAUGGUAACGACAAUGAGUUCCGAAAUCGAAAGAUGGAGGUAAUCCCUAAACGUUACCACAGUU
rnacentral:rRNA from 1 species